GGCGUCGAGCGGCGGACGGGUGAGUAAUACUUAGGAAUCUACCUAGUAGUGGGGGAUAGCACGGGGAAACUCGUAUUAAUACCGCAUACGACCUACGGGAGAAAGGGGGCAGUUUACUGCUCUCGCUAUUAGAUGAGCCUAAGUCGGAUUAGCUAGAUGGUGGGGUAAAGGCCUACCAUGGCGACGAUCUGUAGCUGGUCUGAGAGGAUGAUCAGCCACACCGGGACUGAGACACGGCCCGGACUCCUACGGGAGGCAGCAGUGGGGAAUAUUGGACAAUGGGGGAAACCCUGAUCCAGCCAUGCCGCGUGUGUGAAGAAGGCCUUUUGGUUGUAAAGCACUUUAAGCAGUGAAGAAGACUCCGUGGUUAAUACCCACGGACGAUGACAUUAGCUGCAGAAUAAGCACCGGCUAACUCUGUGCCAGCAGCCGCGGUAAUACAGAGGGUGCAAGCGUUAAUCGGAAUUACUGGGCGUAAAGGGAGCGUAGGUGGCUCGAUAAGUCAGAUGUGAAAUCCCCGGGCUCAACCUGGGAACUGCAUCUGAUACUGUUGAGCUAGAGUAUGUGAGAGGAAGGUAGAAUUCCAGGUGUAGCGGUGAAAUGCGUAGAGAUCUGGAGGAAUACCGAUGGCGAAGGCAGCCUUCUGGCAUAAUACUGACACUGAGGCUCGAAAGCGUGGGUAGCAAACAGGAUUAGAUACCCUGGUAGUCCACGCCGUAAACGAUGUCUACUAGUCGUUGGGUCCCUUGAGGACUUAGUGACGCAGCUAACGCAAUAAGUAGACCGCCUGGGGAGUACGGCCGCAAGGUUAAAACUCAAAUGAAUUGACGGGGGCCCGCACAAGCGGUGGAGCAUGUGGUUUAAUUCGAUGCAACGCG
rnacentral:rRNA from 1 species